AACGAUCGCUGGCGGCAUGCCUAACACAUGCAAGUCGAACGAGACCUUCGGGUCUAGUGGCGCACGGGUGCGUAACGCGUGGGAACCUGCCCUUAGGUUCGGAAUAACUCCCCGAAAGGGGUGCUAAUACCGGAUAAUGUCUUCGGACCAAAGAUUUAUCGCCUUUGGAUGGGCCCGCGUUGGAUUAGCUAGUUGGUAGGGUAAAAGCCUACCAAGGCGACGAUCCAUAGCUGGUCUGAGAGGAUGAUCAGCCACACUGGGACUGAGACACGGCCCAGACUCCUACGGGAGGCAGCAGUGGGGAAUAUUGGACAAUGGGCGAAAGCCUGAUCCAGCAAUGCCGCGUGAGUGAUGAAGGCCUUAGGGUUGUAAAGCUCUUUUACCCGGGAUGAUAAUGACAGUACCGGGAGAAUAAGCUCCGGCUAACUCCGUG
rnacentral:rRNA from 1 species